UUCAAACGAGAGUUUGAUCCUGGCUCAGAAUCAACGCUGGCGGCGUGCCUAACACAUGCAAGUCGAACGAGAAAGUGGAGCAAUCCAUGAGUAAAGUGGCGACCGGGUGAGUAACACGUGACUAACCUGCCUUCGAGUGGGGGAUAACCUAGGGAAACCUGGGCUAAUACCGCAUAACAUCCUCGUGACGAAACGCCUGAGGAUCAAAGGAGCAAUUCGCUUGAAGAGGGGGUCGCGGCUGAUUAGCUAGUUGGUGAGGUAACGGCCCACCAAGGCU
rnacentral:rRNA from 1 species